UACGUAGGUGGCAAGCGUUGUCCGGAAUUACUGGGCGUAAAGCGCGUGUAGGCGGUCUCGCAAGUCGGAUGUGAAAGCCCCGGGCUUAACUUGGGAAUUGCGCUCGAAACUACUUGGCUGGAGUGUGGCAGAGGAAGGUGGAAUUCCAGGUGUAGCGGUGAAAUGCGUAGAGAUCUGGAGGAACACCGAUGGCGAAGGCAGCCUUCUGGGCCAACACUGACGCUCAUGCACGAAAGCGUGGGGAGCAAACAGG
rnacentral:rRNA from 1 species